rnacentral:rRNA from 1 species
CCUACGGGAGGCAGCAGUGGGGAAUAUUGCGCAAUGGGCGAAAGCCUGACGCAGCGACGCCGCGUGAGGGAUGAAGGUCUUCGGAUCGUAAACCUCUGUCAGCAGGGAAGAACGGUCACUGUGCUAAUCAGCAGUGAAUUGACGGUACCUGCAAAGGAAGCACCGGCUAACUCCGUGCCAGCAGCCGCGGUAAUACGGAGGGUGCGAGCGUUAAUCGGAAUUACUGGGCGUAAAGCGCUCGUAGGCGGUAUGUCAAGUCAAGGGUGAAAUCCCCGCGCUAACCGUGGGAACUGCCUUUGAAACUGGCAAACUGGAGUGUGUGAGAGGAUAGUGGAAUUCGAGGUGUAGGAGUGAAAUGCGUAGAUAUCGGGAGGAACAUCAGUGGCGAAGGCGACUAUCUGGCACAUAACUGACGCUGAGGAGCGAAAGCGUGGGUAGCAAACAGGAUUAGAUACCCGAGUAGUC